rnacentral:rRNA from 1 species
GUGUCAGCCGCCGCGGUAAUACGUAGGGUGCAAGCGUUAAUCGGAAUUACUGGGCGUAAAGCGUGCGCAGGCGGUUAUAUAAGACAGAUGUGAAAUCCCCGGGCUCAACUUGGGAAUUGCAUUGGUGACUGCACGGCUAGAGUGUGUCAGAGGGGGGUAGAAUUCCACGUGUAGCAGUGAAAUGCGUAGAGAUGUGGAGGAAUACCGAUGGCGAAGGCAGCCCCCUGGGAUAACACUGACGCUCAUGCACGAAAGCGUGGGGAGCAAACAGGAUUAGAAACCCUGGUAGUCC